UGGAGCAAUCCAUGAGUAAAGUGGCGACCGGGUGAGUAACACGUGACUAACCUACCUCCGAGUGGGGAAUAACUCCGGGAAACCGGGGCUAAUACCGCAUAACAUCGCAAGAUCAAAGCAGCAAUGCGCUUGGAGAGGGGGUCGCGGCUGAUUAGCUAGUUGGCGGGGUAACGGCCCACCAAGGCGAAGAUCGGUAUCCGGCCUGAGAGGGCGCACGGACACACUGGAACUGAAACACGGUCCAGACUCCUACGGGAGGCAGCAGUGGGGAAUUUUGCGCAAUGGGGGAAACCCUGACGCAGCAACGCCGCGUGGAGGAUGAAGCCCUUUGGGGCGUAAACUCCUUUCGACCAAGACGAUAAUGACGGUACUGGUGGAAGAAGCACCGGCUAACUCUGUGCCAGCAGCCGCGGUAAUACAGAGGGUGCAAGCGUUGUUCGGAAUUAUUGGGCGUAAAGGGCGCGUAGGCGGUGCCACAAGUCACUUGUGAAAUCUCCGGGCUUAACUCGGAGUCUGCAGGCGAAACUGUGGUGCUGGAGUGUGGGAGAGGUGCGUGGAAUUCCCGGUGUAGCGGUGAAAUGCGUAGAUAUCGGGAGGAACACCUGUGGCGAAAGCGGCGCACUGGACCAUAACUGACGCUGAGGCGCGAAAGCUAGGGGAGCAAACAGGAUUAGAUACCCUGGUAGUCCUAGCCCUAAACGAUGAUUGCUUGGUGUAGCAGGUACCCAAUCCUGCUGUGCCGCAGCUAACG
rnacentral:rRNA from 1 species